rnacentral:rRNA from 1 species
GCCAGACUCCUACGGGAGGCAGCAGUGGGGAAUAUUGCACAAUGGGGGGAACCCUGAUGCAGCGACGCCGCGUGGGUGAAGGAGUACUUCGGUACGUAAAGCCCUAUCAGCAGGAAAGAAAAUGACGGUACCUGACCAAGAAGCCCCGGCUAACUACGUGCCAGCAGCCGCGGUAAUACGUAGGGGGCAAGCGUUAUCCGGAUUUACUGGGUGUAAAGGGAGCGUAGGCGGCGACGCAAGUCAGAAGUGAAAGCCCGGGGCUCAACUCCGGGACUGCUUUUGAAACUGCGUUGCUAGAUUGCGGGAGAGGCAAGUGGAAUUCCUAGUGUAGCGGUGAAAUGCGUAGAUAUUAGGAGGAACACCAGUGGCGAAGGCGGCCUACUGGACGGUGACUGACGCUGAGGCUCGAAAGCGUGGGGAGCAAACAGGAUCAGAUACCCCCGUA